rfam:Giardia intestinalis strain GS GS_B_0210, whole genome shotgun sequence.
UGUCGGGAUGGACCGUGCUGCGCGUCACACGAAUGGCAGAUGACAGAUCAGUGGCCUUGACCAGGUCGCCCCUGACCAGGAAGUUGCGAGGGCUGACGUCGCGGACGAGUAGCCGAGGGCAAGGUCUGGUGCCAGCAGCCGCGGUAAUUCCAGCUCGGCGGGCGUCGCGUGGCGCUGCUGCAGUUAAAACGCCCGUAGUUGGCCCCCCGCCGCCACGAGGAAACGGGAGCGCUCCAGGCAGGCCCGUUGGACCCGCCGCGUGGGACCGCGCAGCGGGCGCGGCGCGCCGCGGCAGCCCCGAGGAGAGCGGGCGGGGGCACCGGUACCGGCCGGGGACGGGUGAAACAGGAUGAUCCCGCCGAGACCGCCGGCCGCGCAGGCGCCUGCCAAGACCGCCUCUGUCAAUCAAGGGCGAAGGCCGGGGGCUAGAAG